UACGUAGGGUGCAAGCGUUAAUCGGAAUUACUGGGCGUAAAGCGUGCGCAGGCGGUUUUGUAAGUCUGAUGUGAAAUCCCCGGGCUCAACCUGGGAAUUGCAUUGGAGACUGCAAGGCUAGAAUCUGGCAGAGGGGGGGUAGAAUUCCACGUGUAGCAGUGAAAUGCGUAGAGAUGUGGAGGACACCGAUGGCGAAGGCAGCCCCCUGGGUCAAGAUUGACGCUCAUGC
rnacentral:rRNA from 1 species